rnacentral:rRNA from 1 species
UUGGGAAUCUUCGGCAAUGGGGGGAACCCUGACCGAGCAACGCCGCGUGAGUGAAGAAGGUUUUCGGAUCGUAAAGCUCUGUUGUUAAGGAAGAACGAGUGUGAGAAUGGAAAGUUCAUGCUGUGACGGUACUUAACCAGAAAGGGACGGCUAACUACGUGCCAGCAGCCGCGGUAAUACGUAGGUCCCGAGCGUUGUCCGGAUUUAUUGGGCGUAAAGCGAGCGCAGGCGGUCAAUUAAGUCUGAUGUGAAAGCCCCCGGCUCAACCGGGGAGGGUCAUUGGAAACUGGUUGACUUGAGUGCAGAAGAGGAGAGUGGAAUUCCAUGUGUAGCGGUGAAAUGCGUAGAUAUAUGGAGGAACACCAGUGGCGAAGGCGACUCUCUGGUCUGUAACUGACGCUGAGGCUCGAAAGCGUGGGUAGCAAACAGG